rnacentral:rRNA from 1 species
GACGAACGCUGGCGGCGUGCUUAACACAUGCAAGUCGAACGAUGAAGAAGAGAAACGCGAACUUCGGUUCAAAUUUCACUUCGGAUUAGUGGCAGACGGGUGAGUAACGCGUGAGCAACCUACCUCUUACAAAGGGAUAGCCUCGGGAAACCGUGAUUAAUACCAUAUGACACAUUCAUAAGGCAUCUUAAGAAUGUUAAAGCUACGGCGGUAAGAGAUGGGCUCGCGUCCCAUUAGCUAGUUGGUGAGGUAACGGCCCACCAAGGCGACGAUGGGUAACCGGCCUGAGAGGGUGAACGGUCACAUUGGAACUGAGACACGGUCCAAACUCCUACGGGAGGCAGCAGUGGGGAAUAUUGCACAAUGGAGGGAACCCUGAUGCAGCGACGCCGCGUGAGCGAUGAAGGAAUUCGUUUCGUAAAGCUCUGUUCUAUGGGAAGAAAAGGACUGUACCAUAGGAGAAAGCCCCGGCUAAAUACGUG